UACGUAGGUGGCAAGCGUUGUCCGGAUUUAUUGGGUUUAAAGGGUGCGUAGGCGGUCUAUUAAGUCAGUUGUAAAAUACGGCAGCUCAACUGUCGAGGUGCAAUUGAUACUGAUGGACUUGAGUACUGAUGAGGUAAGCGGAAUGGACGGUGUAGCGGUGAAAUGCUUAGAUAUCGUCCAGAACACCAAUAGCGAAGGCAGCUUACUAAGGAGUAACUGACGCUGAGGCACGAAAGUGUGGGGAUCAAACAGG
rnacentral:rRNA from 1 species